rnacentral:rRNA from 1 species
AGGAAUGUAAGGGUGUAUGGUGGAUGCCUAGGCUUCAAGAAGCGAAGAAAGACGUGGAAUGGCUGCGAUAAGUUUCGGUGAGGUGCCAAUCAACCUUUGACCCGGAAAUGUCUGAAUGGGGAAACCCCGCUGUCAUCGGCAGUGAUCCUUGUAUGAGGAGGCGUACGCAGGGAAGUGAAACAUCUCAGUACCUGUAGGAAUAGAAAGCAAUAGUGGAACUUUCUUUCUGAACGGAUGCUUUAGCAUCCAGUUCAGGGAGAAAUUCCUGAACUGUGGUGCGAGAGCGCCAUUACGUUUAGGAAGAAGGUUCUUGCGAUUCUCUUAGUAGCGGCGAGCGAAACGGGAAGAGCCCAAACCAUACGUAUUUAUAUGUAUGGGGUUGUAGGGCAAAAACGGCAUUUAGUUGCGAAGAGUUACAAAAUGUAUAUAUAGGAAAAUGUACUGGAAAGUACGACCCUAGAAGGUAAUAGUCCUGUAUUCGAAAUAUAUACAUCUCUUUGGUUUUUGUUCCUGAGUAGCCCGAGACAUGAAUAGCUCGGGUGAAUCCACCAGUACUAACUGGUAAGGCUAAAUAUUCUUGAAGACCGAUAGUGAACAAGUACCGUGAGGGAAAGGUGAAAAGAACCCCGGAGAGGGGAGUGAAAUAGAUCUGAAACCAUACACCUACAAGGAGUCGGAGCUCAAGUUUACUUGGGUGACGGCGUGCCUAUUGAAGAAUGAGCCGGCGAGUGUACCUUUGUCCUUUGUUUAAGUGGUAAUCCCACGUAGGCACAGUGAAAGCGAGCGUUAAUAGCGCGAAUAUAGGGCAGGGGUACGACCCGAAGCGGGAUGAGCUUGCCAUGAGCAGGGUGAAGCGACUGUAAAAGGUCGUGGAGGCCCGAACCGGUUGGCCGUACAAAACCAUCGGAUGACUUGUGGUAAGGAGUGAAAAGCUUAUCGAAUUCCGUAAUAGCUGGUUCUCUCCGAAACAGCUUUAGGGUUGGCGUCGCGUGAUCCCUCUGGGGGUAGAGCACUGGAAAGAAAAGACAGGGAGAAAUCUCGCUUUUCUUAUCAAACUCCGAAUACCAGUAGGUUACAGCGCGGCAGUUAGACUAUGGGGGAGAAGCUCCAUUGGUCGAAAGGGAAACAGCCCAGAUCGCCAGUUAAGGUCCCUAAAUAUAUGCUCAGUGCAAAGUGAGGAGGUGAGGAUUCUCUAACAGCCAGGAGGUUGGCUUAGAAGCAGCCAUCCUUUAAAGAAAGCGUAACAGCUCACUGGUCGAGAGUCCUUGCGCCGAAGAUGAUCGGGGCUCAAGCAUAUUACCGAAACUGCGGAUUUGUAGGCUUCAUUGAGGAAGUAAAAUAACAGGAGGAAAAAAUGAGUAAAGAAGAGGAAGGGUAUUUUUUAUAUUAUUCUUAUAUAAACGAUAGUUUCUUUUCAAGGAUGGUAGGCUUUACGAAUUCUAUUAAACGUGAAAAGGCCCCAAUAAAAGCUUUUGGACAUGAUGAAGCGGUUAAUAAAGCAAAGGAAGUAUUGAAAGAAGUAUCAAAAAAAUACCAUAUUCUGUCUCAAAAUUUGAAGUAUGAGAAAAACAUUUCGUUAAAAUAAUUUUCCGAGGAUUCGUCCUCGGAUCCUCAAUGAAGCCUACAAGUGGUAGGAGAGCGUCCUUCUCUGCGAUGAACUCAAGGCGGGAGCCAAGAUGGAGCGAGGAGGAGUGAGAAUGCCGGCACAAGUAACCGCAAGACGGGUGAGACCCCCGUCCGCCGAAAUACCGAGGUUUCCUUUGCGAUGGUGAUCAGCGAAGGGUUAGUCGGUCCUAAGGGAAUCCCGAAAGGGGGACUCGAUGGAUAGCAGGUUAAUAUUCCUGCACACUGCUAUGUUCCUAUGGAGGGACGGAGUGUUGUACUCAAAGCAUCUUAUUGGAUUGGUGCUGGAGCACUGAGGAGGUCAUGUAGGCAAAUCCGCAUGGCAAUACUCCAAGGUGAGUCUGAAGGGGAGAUUCGUCAAACCGAUUUGAGGAGCACGCUUCCGAGAAAAACUUCGUUUGGGUUAAACAUAGUGGUUCCGUACCGCAAACCGACACAGGUGGUAGAGUCGAGAAGACUAAGGCGAACGAGUGAGAGGUCCUCAAGGAACUCGGCAAAAAAGCGACCGUAACUUAGGGAUAAGGUCCGCCCAAACCCUUCGGGGUAAGGGCCGCAGCGAAAGAUUUCCUGCCGACUGUUUAACAAAAACACAGCUCUCUGCGAAGACGUAAGUCCAUGUAUAGAGGGUGACGCCUGACCUAUGCUGGAAGGUUAAAUACGGGGGGUGAUAUGAUCUUCGGAUUGUAUUGCUGGACUGUAUAAGCCCCAGUAAAUGUCAGCGAUAACUAUAAUCGUUCUAAGGUUUGGUGCGUGUAGAAAUACGUGCAUCAAACGGACUAGAACGAUUGUAGGUUAAGCAGCCUAGCCAUAGUUACCUUACUUACAGAAAUGUAAGAUUGUCCAAAUGCAACCAACAAGAGACCAAAUGUUGCACACCCUAAUUUGAUAUGGGAUAUCAAAUUAGUUGAAUGAAAUACUUAUUCAACUAAGGAGUUAUACCAAAAUAUCAGAAGGGUGAAGAUAGAGUCCUAUAGUGAAAUGUCUACAAUUUAUUUUGUAGGAGAAGGAGAUAUAGAGCGUAUUUCCUUGUCGGGUAAGUUCCGACGUGCACGAAUGGCGUAACGAGUGGGAAACUGUCUCGAGGACCUGCUCGGUGAAAAUACAAUGGCGGUAAAGAUGCCGCCUACCUGCAGAUAGACGAAAAGACCCCAGGAGCUUUACUGUAGUUUCGUAUUGGGGCUAUUGAAUUAAUGCGUAGUAUAGGUGUGAGACUUUGAAGCGGGCUUUCGGGUACCGUGGAGUCGCCAGUGAAAUAGCACCCUUUAUUUUGGUAGUCUCUAACCAGAUAGGAAAAACCUAUCUGAGACAGUGCGUGGCAGGCAGUUUUAGUGGGGCGCUACCCUCCCAAAAAGUAACGGAGGGGUCUCAAGGUUGGUUAGUCGCGAAUGGAAACCGUGACGAUAGUGUAAUGGCAUAAACCAGCUUGACUGUAAGGCGUAGAUGCCGAACAGACGCGAAAGCGGAGCAUAGUGAACCGAUGGUUGGCUUUAGAUGCCGCCGGAGAUUACCCGAUAAAAGUUACCCUGGGGAUAACAGGCUAGUCGUGCCCAAGCGUCCAUAGCGACGGCACGGUUCGGCACCUCGAUGUCGGCUCGACUUAUCCUGGGGCUGGAGCAGGUCCCAAGGGUUUGGCUGUUCGCCAAUUAAAAAGUCACGUGAGCUGGGUUUAGACCGUCGUGAGACAGGUUGGUCUCCUAUCUACUGCAGGCGUCGAUUCUUGAGGAGAGUUGUCCCUAGUACGAGAGGACCGGGAUGAACGAACCUCUGGUCUAUCGGCUGUCACGCCAGUGGCACCGCCGAGUAGCUAUGUUCGGAAUGGAUAACCGCUGAAAGCAUCUAAGCGGGAAGCCAACUCCAAGAUUAGGAAUCAUUAAGUCCCCAGAGAGAUGAUCUGGUUGAUAGGCACUAAGUGGAAGUGUGGUAACACAUGGAGCUGAGGUGUACUAAUAGGACGUA